rnacentral:rRNA from 1 species
GAUGAACGCUGGCGGCGUGCUUAACACAUGCAAGUCGAACGGGAAACCUUUUAUUGAAGCUUCGGCAGAUUUAGCUGGCUUCUAGUGGCGGACGGGUGAGUAACGCGUGGGUAACCUGCCUUAUACAGGGGGAUAACAACCAGAAAUGGUUGCUAAUACCGCAUAAGCGCACAGGACCGCAUGGUCCGGUGUGAAAAACUCCGGUGGUAUAAGAUGGACCCGCGUUGGAUUAGCUAGUUGGCAGGGUAACGGCCUACCAAGGCGACGAUCCAUAGCCGGCCUGAGAGGGUGAACGGCCACAUUGGGACUGAGACACGGCCCAGACUCCUACGGGAGGCAGCAGUGGGGAAUAUUGCACAAUGGGGGAAACCCUGAUGCAGCGACGCCGCGUGAAGGAAGAAGUAUCUCGGUAUGUAAACUUCUAUCAGCAGGGAAGAUAGUGACGGUACCUGACUAAGAAGCCCCGGCUAACUACGUG